GACGAACGCUGGCGGCGUGCUUAACACAUGCAAGUCGAACGGAAAGGCCCUGCUUUUGUGGGGUGCUCGUUUGGCGCACGGGUGAGUAACACGUGAGUAACCUGCCCUUGACUUUCGGAUAACUUCAGGAAACUGGGGCUAAUACCCGAUAUGAGCUCCUGCUGCACGGUGGGGGAUGGAAAGUUUCGGCGGUUGGGGAUGGACUCGCAGCUUAUCCGCUUGUUGGUGGGGUAGUGGUUUACCAAGGGUUUGACGGGUAGCCGGCCUGAGAGGUUGACCGGCCACAAUGCGACUGAGAGACGGACCAGACGCGUACGGGAGGCAGCAGUCGAGAACAUUGCACAAUGGGCGGAAGCCUGAUGCAGCAACGUCGCGUGCGGGAUGACGGCCUUCGGGGUGUAAACCGCUGUCGCCGGUGACGAAGCGGGAGUGACGGUAAUGGGUAAAGAAGCAACGGCUAACUACGUG
rnacentral:rRNA from 1 species